AGUAUGAUGAAAUUAAAUCAAAGAGCUGAAGAAAACGUCAUCGUCAGUCUUCUAGAUCAUCUCUCUCCGAAAAUCAUUUGAUUAACGAUUAUGCUUCUCUAGACUUUUUCUUCGUCAAGGUCCCAUGGCUGGGUAAGUCCUUUUUCCUUUAUAUGAUUCCUCCUGAUUGCAAUUUUGUAGUAGAAAACAAAAGUUUUUAAUUUUUUUGAAGUUAAGGACCAAACAGUUUUAGUUUGAAACCUCGCUCUGGAUCUGCUGUAUCUCCCGAGAAUAUUUUUAUUGACUCGGCUGGUUCCUAGAAGCUUGCCGGAUUUUUGCUUUAUCAGAAGCACAUGAUGGGAAUUUGGAUAACAUGCAAUCGUUUCACUAAUCUGUGGGUACUUAAUACUCAUUAUCAGUUACUAAAUUGAUGUACAAUGUUUUUGCAUCUAGAUGAAUUUCCUAUGCAUGAUAUGACCUGCGUUUUGAUAUGGAUGAAACUCUUUGCAGUAUCAAUGGUCUCAUUUUGUAAUGGGAAAAGAGAAAAAAAUAAACUGGGAAAAGAUGUAAGAAAGCUUCAAAAUUGUAGUGAACAACUUAAAUUUUACCUGUUUGGAAAGCCUUUCAUCUUCUU